UCCACCUAGUAUGGGGGUUAUGACACUCGACUUGUCAUCGAGUGGGCUCGGGUUCGAAUCCCGAAAAAGGCAUGGAU
rnacentral:tRNA from 1 species